rnacentral:rRNA from 1 species
CCUCGGGUGGCUGCAGUGGGGAAUAUUGGACAAUGGGCGAAAGCCUGAUCCAGCCAUGCCGCGUAUGUGAAGAAGGCCUUCGGGUUGUAAAGCACUUUCAGUGGGGAAGAAAGCCUUGGGGCUAAUACCCUCGAGGAAGGACAUCACCCACAGAAGAAGCACCGGCUAACUCCGUGCCAGCAGCCGCGGUAAUACGGAGGGUGCGAGCGUUAAUCGGAAUUACUGGGCGUAAAGCGCGCGUAGGCGGUCUGAUAAGCCGGUUGUGAAAGCCCCGGGCUCAACCUGGGAACGGCAUCCGGAACUGUCAGGCUAGAGUGCAGGAGAGGAAGGUAGAAUUCCCGGUGUAGCGGUGAAAUGCGUAGAGAUCGGGAGGAAUACCAGUGGCGAAGGCGGCCUUCUGGACUGACACUGACGCUGAGGUGCGAAAGCGUGGGUAGCAAACAGGAUUAGAUACCCCGGUAGUC